rnacentral:rRNA from 1 species
ACACUCCUACGGGAGGCAGCAGUGGGGAAUAUUGCACAAUGGGCGCAAGCCUGAUGCAGCCAUGCCGCGUGUAUGAAGAAGGCCUUCGGGUUGUAAAGUACUUUCAGCGGGGAGGAAGGCAAUACGGUUAAUAACCGUGUUGAUUGACGUUACCCGCAGAAGAAGCACCGGCUAACUCCGUGCCAGCAGCCGCGGUAAUACGGAGGGUGCAAGCGUUAAUCGGAAUUACUGGGCGUAAAGCGCACGCAGGCGGUCUGUCAAGUCGGAUGUGAAAUCCCCGGGCUCAACCUGGGAACUGCAUUCGAAACUGGCAGGCUUGAGUCUUGUAGAGGGGGGUAGAAUUCCAGGUGUAGCGGUGAAAUGCGUAGAGAUCUGGAGGAAUACCGGUGGCGAAGGCGGCCCCCUGGACAAAGACUGACGCUCAGGUGCGAAAGCGUGGGGAGCAAACAGGAUUAGAAACCCGAGUAGUCCCAUG